CAUCAUCAGCCACUGGCCACUUUGCCUGUGCAUUACCGGGUUCACCUCAACCACCUUGAAACGUUCUGCGCCGCCCCGUAACUGGUAGGUGUCUGUGGCCCCGUGCUCUGCGUAUUUGUUGUCGACUGCGUGAACGCAAGGACUGAAGAUGAACGGCGCGCUACGAAAGGCCACCAGCGUUUUUCGAAGCGCUGUAAUGCAGACCCGUUCAACGUCGGUGAAUUCGUACUCGGUCUCGCUGCCGAAAGGCUUCAAGAUGUCGGCCCCCGAAAAGGUGGUUCACAUCGCUGUGAUCGUAUCCACAAUUUUCGCUUACCCAGUUUGGGUCCUUACUCACCUCAGGGAGUACAGAGGAAUCAAGGAUUAACAUGUAGUUCCGAAGACUUGCACCAUGCUGGCGUCCACGGGAAACCUGUGCACAAGUCACCACACGAACCAUUAGCUAACAGAAUACAAUAAAAUGUGUUCGAAUACACAUGCACCAAUUA